rnacentral:rRNA from 1 species
UACGUAGGGUGCGAGCGUUGUCCGGAAUUAUUGGGCGUAAAGGGCUCGUAGGCGGUCUGUUGCGUCGGGAGUGAAAACUCAGGGCUUAACCCUGAGCCUGCUUCCGAUACGGGCAGGCUAGAGUUCGGUAGGGGAGACUGGAAUUCCUGGUGUAGCGGUGAAAUGCGCAGAUAUCAGGAGGAACACCGGUGGCGAAGGCGGGUCUCUGGGCCGAUACUGACGCUGAGGAGCGAAAGCGUGGGGAGCGAACAGG